UCACAUGUGUGCGGGUAAAGAAGAGGUAAUCACGAGGAAGGAGAGAACGAACGAGGAGGAUGGACGAGUACCGUGACAACGAGGGCGGAGGCGGCCAGGGCGAAGCCGGCGAGCUUUACGCCAUCAGCGCACUUCUGGGCCAUCUCUCGGACGUCCGACUGCAAGGAGCAGGUGAGCCUGGCACUGGCAGCAGGCUCAAGGCCGAAGGCCUUGGUGAGGUGAGAUGAGGACCUCAAUUGCACUCCUGCAGCGGUCCGGCUGGUGGCGCCGACCUUUGCCGGCUGCAUGAGGGUAGCGGCGGCCUGGAGGGACGCUGCCAUUCUUCUUUGCUACUGUGCCUGUGCUGCUUUCCUCCUCCUCUUCUUCU
rnacentral:lncRNA from 1 species